GUGAAUCAUCAAAUUUUUGAACGCAAAUUGCGCCUUUUUCGGAAGGCAUGUCUGUUUGAGGGCACCAUUUAACAAAUAAUGUGCAUUUCGUGUGCACACGUUGAUGAGCUUUUCCGAAAAAACCAGGUUUUUUUGGUGGCGCAUAAUGGACAGCGUGGGCUUUUUCUUCGAUUCUCGUGUAGUAAAUCUUCAACGCUUGGGUUGAGAAAAAGUGCGUGCCGCGCAAUGGGUGUGGCGAAUUUUACCCCUGCCCCAAUGCCACUCUUUCCCUGCGAAAGAACAAUCUUUUAUUAAGGGCCU
rnacentral:misc_RNA from 1 species